rnacentral:rRNA from 1 species
GAUGAACGCUGACAGAAUGCUUAACACAUGCAAGUCAACUUGAACUUCGGUUUGGGUGGCGGACGGGUGAGUAACGCGUAAAGAACUUGCCUCACAGAUAGGGACAACAUUUGGAAACGAAUGCUAAUACCUGAUAUUAUGAUUUUAGGGCAUCCUAGGAUUAUGAAAGCUAUAUGCGCUGUGAGAGAGCUUUGCGUCCCAUUAGCUAGUUGGAGAGGUAACGGCUCACCAAGGCGAUGAUGGGUAGCCGGCCUGAGAGGGUGAUCGGCCACAAGGGGACUGAGACACGGCCCGUACUCCUACGGGAGGCAGCAGUGGGGAAUAUUGGACAAGGGACCAAGAGUCUGAUACAGCAAUUCUGUGUGCACGAUGAAGUUUUUCGGAAUGUAAAGUGCUUUCAGUUGGGAAGAAAAAAAUGACGGUACCAACAGAAGAAGUGACGGCUAAAUACGUG